rnacentral:rRNA from 1 species
UGAGGAAUAUUGGUCAAUGGGCGCAAGCCUGAACCAGCCAUGCCGCGUGCAGGAUGAAGGUUCUAUGAAUUGUAAACUGCUUUUGUACGGGACGAACCAUGGGCACGUGUGCCCAUCUGACGGUACUGUAUGAAUAAGCAUCGGCUAACUCCGUGCCAGCAGCCGCGGUAAUACGGAGGAUGCAAGCGUUAUCCGGAUUCAUUGGGUUUAAAGGGUGUGUAGGCGGAAUAUUAAGUCAGUGGUGAAAUCCUGCGGCUCAACCGUAGAACUGCCAUUGAUACUGAUGUUCUUGAAUGUAGUUGAGGUGGGCGGAAUGUAUAAUGUAGCGGUGAAAUGCUUAGAUAUUAUACAGAACACCGAUUGCGAAGGCAGCUCACUAAACUACUAUUGACGCUGAGGCACGAAAGCGUGGGGAUCAAACAGG